UAGCUGCUACCAGGAAGAAAAGCACAUGCAAAGACAGAAAAACAGAUCUGAGCUGGAACCAGCAGUAAGAGAAGUAGUUUUGUUGGAGCCGUGACUGAAAGCUGAAACAUUAUAGACUCCUAAGAACCUUUGAAAACAGUACAUGAUCUCAUAGUAACCUGCAGAAGGCAACUGGAUAACACUUUGGACUGGAUAACAACCAUUUCUAGCCUGAAUGACUUACCCAUGCUAACGAAGAUGGAAAUGGGCUUUCACAUCCAACUCUUACAGGGUUUUCCUGUAUGUUGUCUAAAAUGGAUUUUCAUUUUACCACCGAUGGCAAGAAAUUACCCAGCUCAUAACUAGGAUGGAAUAAACCUACCUAAUCCAGGGCAGAAGAGAAAUAACAAGUCACCUUGUGCCUAGAUCAUUUGUUCCUGGAACAAGAAAUCUUCCAUGGCUGAUGGAGGUAAAACCCAACCAGAUGACAGUGGAGAAAGGAGGAAUUUUCUGAGGUUAUUUUCUGCUUUCUGGAGAUAGACAAGAAGUUCCACUAUACUGUUAAUGUAAGAUCUGCGGUUCCCAGUCACGGGAAUUGCUUGCGUGCUUGAGACUUUUGUGGAUUCAGCAGACUAUAUCGACCUUCGAAAAUGGUUGAAUUGAGGAUAUUUCCUGUCAAUGAAGAGAUGGGUUUGAGUUGAAUUAAAUCACUGCUUAGAAUUCCACCUUAAAUUCUACAAAGAUGGCACUUGCUUAAGGUUCUGAAGACGGGAAUAUGAUCUGCUAAAAAUCAGACAAGUGAGCAGAAACAAACUAUGACUUCUGCCCCAGGGGUAACGGAGAUGGAGAUGAAUCCUGACAAGCACACACAUGACAAGAGCUAGGCAGAGCAAGAACGCGUGACUCACAAAUUGUAGUGGCACGUUCUCUCCAAGGGCCUCGGUGUGCAGUAAUGCCUGAAAGAUCUCAACCAGGAUCACAUGAUGCAUACAGCGGUUGGCUGAUUGUUGAGCCAUAUAAUAAAACCCCAACAAAUUAAGUAUAAAACAGCCUCUGGUGAGCUAUAGCUCUAAUUAGUAAUAGAAUUAACAGGUAUUAGAACAGCAGAAUGCCUG